UUUGGUGGCCAUAGAGGAGAGGGUACACCCGACCCCAUUCCGAACUCGGAAGUUAAGCUCUCCAUCGCCGAUGAUACUGCAUAACGUCAUGUGGGAAAGUAGGCCGCUGCCAAAG
rnacentral:rRNA from 1 species